GUACCCUGUUAUUUAAAAUGUAAAUUUAAAACUAAGGUAGUAUUAGUUAUGUUCUUGAAACUUAAAAAAUUUGGCGGUAUUUUAGUCUAUUCAGAGGAACCUGUUUUAUAAUCGAUAAUCCACGAUGGACCUUACUUAAAUUUGUAAUCAGUUUAUAUACCGUCGUUAUUAGAAUAUUUUAUUAGAAUGAUAAUAUUUAUAAUUUUUUAUAAGAAAAUAUAUCAGAUCAAGGUGUAGCUAAUAUUUAAGCUUAAAUGGGUUACAAUAAAUUUAUUUAAAUGAAUAUAAAUUUGAAAUAUUUAUUGAAAUUGGAUUUGAUAGUAAAAUUAUAUAGAUAAAUAAUUUGAUUUUAGCUCUAAAAUAUGCACAAAUCGCCCG
rnacentral:rRNA from 1 species